UUUCCUCCAGGAGAUGAAAAGCUUUCAAACAUUUGGCUGCCGUGUGCCGCCCUGUUUCCCAGGAUGGCGGCAGGCAGGCCCAUUGGCUCCGUCGUCAUCUUGGCAUCGCCGAGGAGAGGUGGCAGACAGCCCUGUGGAACAGAAAGGCAGUUGGCACAGUGGCUCUUCACACUAAGAGGAGUUGGCUCAACAAAGCCCGUUUGGUACACUUAAUCCUGCUGAAAAUCUGGCAAGGGGAGAGACACGAUCGUUAGGAUCCGUUUCCCCUACAGUAGCCAAUCUGGGUGGAAAUGACUCAAGAAAUCAAUUUUUAAUAACUGUGCCCAUGGCCAGAUUCUCAUGAAUCCAUGAAAGCUCACAUCAGCCCCACGUGGAGGACACCAUUGGGACGCCUCAGGUGACACAGGAGACCAACCAGCGAGGCUACGGAAGGGAAGUGUGGUAGACUGACUGUUGGCUCCUAACCAUUGAGACCUCUAAAUACUGCCUUGUUUCUGAGAACGAGAUCUGCAUUGCUUUUCUCAUUGGAAUGACUGUGUGCCUAACAGAAGCCACUUAAGGAACGCCACGCAGUGAGACAUUUGCUCUGCCUAGAGAUUCCUGAUUCCUGCCACGGGGUCCUCAUCUUUUUCCCUGCUGCUCUGAUAAAAAUAUCCCGACAAAAAAGCAACUUAGAGGAGAAAGGAUUUAUCUUAGCUCACAAUUCCAGUCGUAGCCCACCACAACAGAGGAGGCAGGAAACUUACAACGGCUACUCGACAGUGACGUCCACAGCCAAGAGCAGAGAGACCGACAGACGCAUGCUUACUGCUCAGCUCAGUUUCCCCAGACUCAGGGAAUGGUUCCGCCUUCGGUGGGCGUGUCUUCCCAUGUCAACGUAAUCAAGACAAUCCCUACAGACCAACCCGAUCUAGACAAUGCCUUGCCAGGCGUGUUAGCGCACGCCUUUAAUCGCAGCACUUGGGAGGCAGAGGCAAGCGAAUUUCUGAGUUGGAGGCCAGCCUGGUCUACAGAGUGAGUUCCAGGACAGCCAGGACUACACAGAGAAACCCUGUCUCGAAAAAAAAAAAAAAACCCAACCAAACAACAAUAACAAAAGACAAUGCCUUGUUGAGACUCUCUUCUUAGUGAUUCUAGAGUGCCAAGUUUACAGUUAAAUCUAGGGGGUGGGGGAAUGGCUUGGCGGUAAAGGAGAAACUCCUAAGGACCUGAUUUCAGUCCCCAGGACCCACGCGAUGCAAGACAAGACCUGACUCCCACAAGUUGUCCUCUGACCUC
rnacentral:lncRNA from 1 species